rnacentral:rRNA from 1 species
UACGGAGGGAGCUAGCGUUGUUCGGAAUUACUGGGCGUAAAGCGCACGUAGGCGGAUAUUUAAGUCGGGGGUGAAAUCCCGGGGCUCAACCCCGGAACUGCCUUCGAUACUGGGUAUCUUGAGUGUGGUAGAGGUGAGUGGAAUUGCGAGUGUAGAGGUGAAAUUCGUAGAUAUUCGCAGGAACACCAGUGGCGAAGGCGGCUCACUGGACCACAACUGACGCUGAGGUGCGAAAGUGUGGGGAGCAAACAGG